AUGGACGGCGGGAAGAAGGGCGGCCGGGACCGCAAGCCGGCGCAGGAGCGCAGCGACCGCAAGUCGGGCACCGGGAUGAGCGGCGACGCCAAGAAGGGCGGCCGCGGCGGCAAGUUCACCUGGGAGGGCGCCGACGGCUACACCGACGAGGACCUCGACCUCGUCGCCAGCAAGGGCGCGGGGAGCGGCGCCUCCGCCUCCGGCAAGAACAAGUCCUAG
rnacentral:rRNA from 1 species